UUAUAAUGGAACCUUCCAGUAAUACAGUAACAGUUUGAAUUCAAAGGAAUUGAGGUCAGUGCAAACACAAAGGAAACGAUUGAUAUUGUAGCAAUUCUGUAGAUUGUUAUUAUUGUGUUUUAAAUGUAAGGAUGCAUAUUUUUAAUUUCUCAAAGAAAGCAUUUAAAGUCUUACUAGUGUGGUAAAUAGAAAUGAGAAGAAUCUGGAAAUGAUUUUAACUGAAGUGUGAAUGUGUAGAUUAUAUUAUUGGACAAGAAGAUAUUAACAGCAGAAUCAUUCGAAGUCAAAGUUUCAGGCUUGGACCAUGCAGUACAGACUAAGAUGCUGUCUCAGUGUUUAUGUGUGCAACAUUUAACUAGCGUAAAGCCCAAGAAGGUGAACUGGACACAACCCUGUGAAAUUCCUGGUGUUCGAAAACCAAAGCAAAGUGCUGGAACAGAUGGACAUGGUAUUGUUGGAACAACAUUACAAAUGGUGCACUGAGACACAAGAUUCUUAAAAGGUCACAAAAAGGAGAGGCUACAACUGCAACUAGAUUGAACAGCAAGUGAAAAAAUCAACUCAUUACAUGAACUUAGUUAAAAAAUUACAAUCUUUUUAACAAACAAUUGAGUUUAAUUUGUAGAUUUGAAACAAAAUUGAUUUCAUAAACCUAAAAAACAA